rnacentral:lncRNA from 1 species
GAGCCUCGCGUUGGUGACCGCGUCAAGGUGCGGGAGGGCGGGGCACCCGGAGAGGGCGCGGAAGCACACGCCAGCCCUGCCCCUCGCCUUGCCCUCUGCUCUUCCUGAGCGGUAUCCUUUAGAACAAACUGGUAAAUGAAUGAAGAGUCACCGUUAAUUCCUGGGUCCAGAAGGAUCCCAAAUGAAUUUAGAACAACUGAAGACUCUCAGUUCAGAGGGACACUUUAAAAAGCAACCAAUAAUUACAGCUGGGGAGCCAUGAAGGAGCCCGAAGACACCAAGGCCUGUCCAUUCGAGACCAAAGGAGGAAUGUUGUUUACCAACUUUUCACCGAUGCUGCACCGACUCCCCAAAGAAUCUAGGGUGGCCGACUGGAGAAAGC